AACGAACGCUGGCGGCAUGCCUAACACAUGCAAGUCGAACGAAGGCUUCGGCCUUAGUGGCGCACGGGUGCGUAACGCGUGGGAAUCUGCCCUUGGGUUCGGAAUAACUCAGAGAAAUUUGAGCUAAUACCGGAUGAUGACGUAAGUCCAAAGAUUUAUCGCCCAAGGAUGAGCCCGCGUAAGAUUAGCUAGUUGGUGGGGUAAAGGCCUACCAAGGCGACGAUCUUUAGCUGGUCUGAGAGGAUGAUCAGCCACACUGGGACUGAGACACGGCCCAGACUCCUACGGGAGGCAGCAGUGGGGAAUAUUGGACAAUGGGCGAAAGCCUGAUCCAGCAAUGCCGCGUGAGUGAUGAAGGCCUUAGGGUUGUAAAGCUCUUUUACCAGGGAUGAUAAUGACAGUACCUGGAGAAUAAGCUCCGGCUAACUACGUGCCAGCAGCCGCGGUAAGUGACGUCAGA
rnacentral:rRNA from 1 species